AUGAUGCUAACGCGACACUACGAUCAGAGACCCUUCGACGAAACUGUGUGCGUUGCAAUAAUCGGAAAUAGUGAUGUAAAAAAUCCGUCAAAAAAGGUGCAAACCAUUUGCGAUGACGGAUGCAUCAAACACGGUUUAGAUUUUAGUUGCGUGUGCGAUGCAGGGCAUACAGUUCAGUUCAGUGAACUAUUUGCGAUGAGGCAGAAGAACAGAAACGGGCAUCCAAAUGAAGGUGUGUGCGAUAUACGACAUACGGUUCACUCGGAUGAACUGUUUGUGAUUAAGUGGAACAAAAGAAAUGGUCAGACAGAUCAAGGUGUGUGCGCUAGAGGGAAACAGUUCACUCGGAUGAAGUAUUUGAAUUGA
rnacentral:rRNA from 1 species